GCACUGCUGAAGAGUCCCAUACUAGGACGAAGUGGUCAUCCAGUGC
rfam:Schistosoma rodhaini strain Burundi genome assembly, scaffold: SROB_scaffold0014265